UAAUACGAAGGGUGCAAGCGUUAAUCGGAAUUACUGGGCGUAAAGCGUGCGUAGGCGGUUGGCUAAGUCAGAUGUGAAAGCCCUGGGCUCAACCUGGGAAUGGCAUUUGAAACUGGCCGGCUAGAGUGUGAUAGAGGAUGGCGGAAUUCCCGGUGUAGCGGUGAAAUGCGUAGAGAUCGGGAGGAACAUCCGUGGCGAAGGCGGCCAUCUGGAUCAACACUGACGCUGAGGCACGAAAGCGUGGGGAGCAAACAGGAUUAGAUACCCUGGUAGUCCACGCCCUAAACGAUGCGAACUGGAUGUUGGUCUCAACUCGGAGAUCAGUGUCGAAGCUAACGCGUUAAGUUCGCCGCCUGGGGAGUACGGUCGCAAGACUG
rnacentral:rRNA from 1 species